GACAGCAGCGACUUUCGAUAGCUCCGACUUUUGGCAGCCCGAGCACGGCCACGUCCAGCAGCGACGACCAAGUCGACGGAAGAAGAAAAGAAAGAAAAAACAAGGAAAAAGAAUAGGGCAUCCAAUCUGGCAAUUAAUCACUCCAAUCCAGUCGACAGUGGCAGCCUUAGCAUCAUGAAAGAGAGAAGAAGGAUCAAGGACCCUUGUCUCAACUCCGGUGAGGCUUCAAAGCUAUCUCAAUGAAGGUUUCAAUGGAAAGGCACAAUGAAGAUCAGUGCUAUUAACCGGC
rnacentral:lncRNA from 1 species